rnacentral:rRNA from 1 species
UCCAGCAGCAUACCACCCUGCAUCCCACUGCUGGCUUGCUUCUGAAGCUAAGCAGGGUUGGUCCUGGAUGGGAGACCAGAUGCUGCUGGAA